rnacentral:misc_RNA from 1 species
GUGAAUCAUCAAAUUUUUGAACGCAAAUUGCACUCUCCUCGGAGAGUAGGCCUGUUUGAGGGUCAGCCUAUAAAAAAUCGACAUCGUUGCUGUUGCGCGGGGGCGUUCGUCGGAAAUUGGGUGAUCUUAAAUCCUUAUGGAAUUUAAGCGACUUAAAAUUUUCUUUGUGGUUACAUGAACGUUUCUAAGAUAUAUUUCUUUACACGUUUAAGGUAUAGAUUUUUAUAAGACGUAACCAUCAUAACGGAUGGAAACCAGAAUAAUUUAUUAACUGA